GCAGGGCCGGGGGAGGUGUCGCCCAGCUGCUGUCUUUGUUUUAUUUCAAAUCGGUUUGGUUUGUUUGUUGUUUGGGUUUUUUGGGGUUUUUUUUCUUAACGGGGAGGGGUCCUCUGGUGAGAAUGAGAUGCCCACAAGUUUGUGACCUGAUCAUUUAACUCCCUUGCAGAGACCCAUCUGAGUGGGUGUCUCGGCAAACAUCGGAUGUUGGUGAUGCAGGAGACCGGUUGAUUCUCGUGGAUUUUUUCCCCUCCCAGAGAACAUAGCCCAGGAGCAUCCAUUCAGAUCAAAUCGAGGAACAAAGCUGCGAGAAACUGCCAAGCCCGUCUUGCAAGCUCGGAGCGGCCCCGCGGUCUCGUCCAGAGAUAACAUCAGAGCGCCCCCUGCUGGCCAGCAGAGUAGACCGCGGCGGGUCAGCCCCCUGCGAAGAGAAUCGUGUUUAUCUGCGCCCCCGACCUCCACCGACUCCUUCCCCACCCCGCCUUCGUUCUGCUGCGGAACACCUAUUCAGGCGAAAGGCUUGUCAAGGCUGAACAUUUGAAUGAAUAAAUGAUAAAAAUAAUAAUAAAAUACGAAGGAACCCCCACCUUCACUUGGCCUCGGGGGACUAAACUACCAAUGCCUUAGCAAAGGGACACAUUUCCUUCUUCUAAUCGCCUCUUCUGUGAGGUUUUGCUGUAGCUUUUUUUUUUUUUCUGCUGAACUUUUAAUAGGAAAUGUUUUAAUAGUUACUGUAGAAUUUCUAAUGGAUAUCUCAUGGGGAAAACGUCCAACACAAAACAAUACUUCGCCUCCUCACCGAACUGAACUCCUGAGGAAGAAAUCUCACUGUUCCAGCAGAGUGCGGACGGCUCGCUUUGGGGUGCAGGGUUCCCCGACAGUCUGGAGCGACCCUUCCCGCACAGAGGGGAACCCGACCCUCUCCCUCCCCCCCUUCCUCCUUUCUUCUUUCCUUCCUUUUUCUUUCUUGUUAAAAGUUGUUAAUGUACACAUACACGCGCGCACACAGGUCUUUUCCACGCGUGUGCCCCUUCUUUCUUGGCCCGUGCUUCCCGAUUUUGCUGGAAACGGAAAGAGAGGCUCGAGUGCAGGACAGUAAACCGGCAGUGUCCGGGACACUUGAUCUCCGUCCGAGCUGCACGUUCAAAGCCAAGUGUGGGCUGCCACCGUUCCAGAGUGUUGGGCUGUUCGUCAACGGUUCAGCGCAGAGAGGCGUCCUCCCGGCCCCCAAUCAGUCUCGGGGGCCGCGGGCCGGCGCGGCCCAGGGCGCAGGUGACGGCCGGCCGGCCGGCUGGGCGUCUCGGGCUGGAGACGCAGGCUCCCCAGCCUCCCUCCCGGGAAGGGCGCUGACCAGGCAGCCUCUUCCGGGAAAGUCUCCUCACCACCGCCAGACCCCACGCGAAGCGUGCAAACCUACAGUGCCGAACGACUUCAGUUCCGGGGGCAGUUUCUGGUGUUGCUCUUUGGAGAUUUUGAGAAGCUGUCCGGGAACUGAGGCGCGGGAAGGAAGUCGGGCAGGGAGGUCUGCAGGGCGAGAAACCCCGGGCCACCCCAACUCCUGGCCCUCUUUGGGGCCGCUCCUGGACGGGACAGGGACCCAGGGACCCCAGAGGAGGAGCACUCCUAGAGCAACGCGGAGGUUGAAAAGUCAUUGCGCGGAGAGGGCAGAAGUGAAUUAAGUCCCCGGGGACCGCGGGCGCGGGCCGAGGAGACCUCCUGAAAUACGACUGACCCGAACCUGUCCUGCGAGAGGCACUGGGGUUUAAGAGUCAGGC
ensembl:lncRNA